rnacentral:lncRNA from 1 species
ACUAAGUUAAACGAAAAUAGUUUGUAAAACCUGUAGCUAUUGUUAAACCAUACGUUUCAGAACAAACGUAUAAAACGCCGCAAGUUUAUAUUCCUCGAGUGGUUGAAACAAGACCACUCGAGAGGAUAGAUGAACAAAUGUAUAAUGGCUAACUAUUUUGACAACAUUCCAGAAAUAGACGACUAACAAGUGCGUAUGUUAGAUUUUAUUGUGCAUAGAAUAGAUCAACAUUUGCUACGCCAAGAUAACGAUAACGAAUUUGCUACGCCAAGACGCGUGAUAUGCUUUUGGUUGUUGUUUGUGUGACGAAGACAGCGUACAUAAUCAUUGCUGUACAACAACCGUG